rfam:Astyanax mexicanus Tnplaced_Scaffold_333, whole genome shotgun sequence.
ACUCUUCACUGUUGUAAGUCGCUUUGGACAAAAGCGUCUGCUAAAUGUAAUGUA